rnacentral:rRNA from 1 species
GGGCCCGCACAAGCGGAGGAGCAUGUGGUUUAAUUCGAUGAUACGCGAGGAACCUUACCCGGGCUUGAAGGUAAGACGAAUAUAUGGGAAACCAUAUAGCCUACGGGCGUCUUGCUAGGUGCUGCAUGGUUGUCGUCAGCUCGUGCCGUGAGGUGUUAGGUUAAGUCCUGCAACGAGCGCAACCCCUACUAAUAGUUGCCAGCACGUUAAGGUGGGAACUCUAUUAGAACUGCCUACGCAAGUAGAGAGGAAGGUGGGGAUGACGUCAAAUCAGCACGGCCCUUAUGUCCGGGGCUACACACGUGCUACAAUGGCAUAUACAGAGGGCAGCUACUCGGUGACGAGAUGCUAAUCUUAAAAGUAUGUCUCAGUUCGGAUUGGAGUCUGAAACUCGACUCUAUGAAGUUGGAUUCGCUAGUAAUCGCGCAUCAGCCAUGGCGCGGUGAAUACGUUCCCGGGCCUU